rnacentral:lncRNA from 1 species
UUCCAUGGAGUUUUUAGGUGCACCAGUUUCUUCCUCUGUUUCCAAAUUCUGUUCUUCACAUUGCACUAAAUUAAUUACCAAUGGAUCAACUUAAAUCUGGCCCAAAACCUGCCUUAAACUCUCCCUUUUUGCAAAUUCUGCUAGACAACAACUCAAGAUUUAUAGUGGAAAGAUUAGUGGAGUUCAACUUCAACAUUUUAUGGCUGUCAACGAUUAGGGCAUUGCGCAAUCAUGAUUAUGCACCUGAUGAACUUCCACAUUCUAAUUCAAACUGGAAUAAGAAGCUAAUUGUUAUUGCUUGUCCGACAGUUACUAGAGAAGAUUCCCAUUUCCACCGAAGCAAUAAUAGAAAUUGAAAAACCAUACACCGCCAUAGCCGUGGUGGCGCCGCCACGUGGUGAAUUUAACAGGUGAGUCAGUGGUCGAAAACACCUGUGUCAUGGGAUUCAAGUGCAAGUAUGGGACGCCAUUACCAAGAUCAGCACAAUCAUCAACCCUCAGAAGCUUGACAAGUCCAAAGUCAUUGUUUUCUUUGUCUAUGGAUUCAGGGUCUGCCAAUGGAAUCGUGUUUGAGAGACCAAUCAAAGGUAGAGUUAUAUUUGGAAGGUGAUUUCGCCGGUGGUAAAUAGUGGGGAGUGAUGGAUAGUGGCGGCAGCAGCCAGCUUUCAUGUUGUAGUUAGGAUGAAUAUUGAAACUUUACAGAGAUUAUAACUACAGGGAUAAGUGAAAAAAUUGAUUAG